rnacentral:lncRNA from 1 species
CCAUGAGUUAUGACAUUAUUUACAAUUUUAAAGGUUUUUUCUCAAAAUAAUUAGUUUUUUAUUUAAAGUUAGGAAAUUGUAUCUGCCAUUACUCAUUUUCCAAGUUUACAUGAUAGAAACAGGUGCAUAAUUAAAGAAUUCCGAAAAUUAGUCUUGUAUAAGUGUCGUUUCAGUGCUCAGUUAUAGUAAACGAUUAUAUAUUUUUAAACAUGUUUAUAUACGCGUAAUUUCACGCUAUUGUCCCCAAAAUAUAAUGCCAAGCAUUGGAACUGUAUCUGUUUACAUAAAUAGUGACAUUGGCAGCAGUUAAAAUUAAGAUUCGCAAGCGUUAUACCAUAUUAAUUCACAAGUUGCAGCAGGUUAUUAUUACACAAUUAUGCUCAUUCGAAUUUUUAAACAGGAACAUAAAGGCAUCCAGCCAAGAUGUUUUCUGCUCAUAAAUAUAGUUUCACUCUUGUUUUAUUGCCAGAAAAGAAUCGAGUUUCAUCUCUCUAAAGACGUUAAGGACCUUUCCUGCUAACGAACUUUCGUAAAGCAUCAUUUACUUUGAUUAAAUUAACAUUCAUGCGCGCGAUUUCCAUCAUAUACUUUCACACGGUGGACUUCCUUUCGGUAAUAUCGCGCCAUCUAUCGCGAGAAAUAAGAAGUAACAAAAUUUAUCUCCUCAGAGCGAGAUGUAAUCGAUUUUUAACACUCAGAAUGUUAAACAAUUGUCAAUAAUUAACAUGCACCGCACUUUAUCUUGAACCAAGAUAUAAAACGUUCUAUUGCCAUUACAAAAUGUCACCAGAGGGGCGAGCUAACGAUAAAAACUUUUUAUCAUUUUUACUGCGUAGAUUUGCAUGUUAGAUAAAACGUAUAUACGUUAUCGGCAUUUCGGAGGAUUUUUAAAAAAUAUUUUUCGGAGAAAAUUUAAGCUGAUAGCGUGCAAAUUAUGCGAGAUAUUUCCAAUUUUAACCGGUAGAUGGAGUUACGCGAUAACGUUAUCCCAUCAAGGUCAAUGUUUUAUUCAUAUCUGUCUACUGUAUAAACCGACCUCUCUCUCUCUCUUCUGCCUUCCUGGGGAGAAAGGGAAAAAAAAAGAAUUUCUUUCUCCGAAUUUGGCAAGAAUUCAGUAAACUUUAUCGACCCUUCUGCGUCUUCCUUCAUACAUAAAGCAUUCUUUGUACAUCUCUCUCGUUAUAAGUAACACAGCUGUGAGUUGACUAAACUCCAGUUGAAAUCAUCAUCUCAAACAGAAAUAAAAAAAGGAAUAAAGACAAUAUGCCUGUUAUAUUUAGUUACUCGAAAAAUCAAAUAUGCGCAAGGUUAACGUACAAUUCAGAGAAUCUUCACUUCAUUGCUUACCGAUUCUAAAAAUUUCUACUGUCCUUUGUUUGAAUAAGGUAUAUAAACUUACUCUACUUUGUUUUGGUGGAUCGUGUUUAUGUCACGUAUGCCAGACUGUGACACAACCGGUGACAUGCCGUCUAUACAAAGCGGGUUCAAUGAAAGUUGCAUUAAUAGAAAUCUUCGUGUGCUGUCGCUCCUUUCGAAAAAAAAAAAAAAAUAAUAUUCUAAAAGUUCUCUCGUGUUUCCUCAAUAGGUGAACUUACUGGUAUUCUCCUCUCCUGAAAAGAUCCCCCACGUGGCCAUCUGUUAUGGGAUUUUUUUUUCGGGGGAAAGACCCAACCGAACACGGCAAUAGCUCUCCACUGCAAAUAGUCCUAUACAUAAACCCCAGAGGCAUUAAAUCAAAACGUAGUUAUUGUUAAUUUUUUGAUGAAAAUUAUGCUGUUCUCUCAAUUUUCUUUAAUAAGAAGCAACCUACAUCGGAGAACAUUACAAUAAUUCGAUUUUUCUAUAUUAAAGUAUCGAUUAGAUAAAAUUGUAAUUUUUUUCAUUUUUUACUGUUUAUCCGAGAUGUAUUAAUUUUAAAUAUAAAUUUUUAUGAUUAUCAGUUCAAUAGAAAUUGAUAAAAAUUGGCGUACCUUUUUAUCAUUCUGUUCAAGGUUGUGUGAAUCAACAUAACUCGUUGCACGUGUUCUUUGUUCUUUCACAAUUGUUUGCUAAUCGAGCCUUUCAUCACGCUUUUCUUCCUCGAAAUCAUACGGUGAAAAUUAAUUAAUGUACUGUAGCGAUGCAACACCAUCUAUUGAAGCGACUGAAUUUUCGUAACGGAUAAGCUGUGUUCAACGACUUUUUCUUUGGAUUUGUAAAUUCGUUUUUGUUUUCCUAGAAACAAAAUAAAUCUAUUCUUCGGUAGAAUUUCAUUUAAUCUUCCUUUGGCAGCUGUUUUGGACACGCUGAAUACCUUCUCUACACAGGAUUCAUUCGUAUUUUUCAAUACACGUAUAGUCCGAUUCGAUAAUAGGAUUGUUUUUCCCCGAGGCUUCAUAAGUAAAAAUUUCAAAUUCGAUUUAUAAAAGGAGAAAGGUAAAUUUAUUAUAUUUUCUCCGAUUAAGAAUAAGGUAAAUAUUUAUCAUUUGUUCAUUUGAAAUUCUAGAUUUUCUAACUUUUAAAGAAUAGAAACCCUGAAGCGAGUUAAUUCCUUUAAUAUUUUAUCAGUUGUAAUCUUUAUAAAUUCAUGCUGAC